rnacentral:rRNA from 1 species
GCUAUCUCUUACCCAUGUCUUUUGAGUACCUUCGUUUCCUCGGCGGGUCCGCCCGCCGAUUGGACAAUUUAAACCAUUUGCAGUUGCAAUCAGCGUCUGAAAAAACUUAAUAGUUACAACUUUCAACAACGGAUCUCUUGGUUCUGGCAUCGAUGAAGAACGCAGCGAAAUGCGAUAAGUAGUGUGAAUUGCAGAAUUCAGUGAAUCAUCGAAUCUUUGAACGCACAUUGCGCCCCUUGGUAUUCCAUGGGGCAUGCCUGUUCGAGCGUCAUUUGUACCUUCAAGCUUUGCUUGGUGUUGGGUGUUUGUCUCGCCUCUGCGCGUAAACUCGCCUCAAAACAAUUGGCAGCCGGCGUAUUGAUUUCGGAGCGCAGUACAUCUCGCACUCUGCCUUCACCACGACGGCGUCCACAAGUACAUUUUACACUCUUGACCUCGGAUCAGGUAGGGAUACCCGCUGA